ACAAAUAGCGGCCUAGCUAGUGCAACACCUCCGGUCGUCGAUCGUCACCGGCCGGCCCCGGCCGGCCGGCCACCCUAGCUACUCCCCACGCCGAUCGAUCCAGAUCGAGAUCGACCUUCUGCACUUCAUCAUCGAUCCGGCCGUCUAGCUACAUAUAUAUAUAUAUAUAUAUAUAUAUAUAUAUAUAUAUAUAUAUAUAUAUAUAUAUAUAUAGCUAGCUAGUGUAUCGAGAUGGGUGUCGGGCAGCUCGUUUACGGGCUGGUGUUCGUCGCCGUCGCCGGCGCCUUCUUCCUCACCAUCCACCUCUACCUGGCGCCGCUGCUCUACCUCACCGCCGCCAGUUAGCUAUUAGCUCUGCUAUAUCAUCGAUGCAACUCUCGCCGCGGCCGUCGUUGUCGUCGUCGUCGUCCUCAUCCAUAAAUUUUGCUUGGAUCUAUCAUUAUUGUUGCUUUUAUAGUUUUCAAAUUGAAAUUACUUAUGUAAUGUUAUACUUGAGUUUUCAAGUAAGGCCCUGUUCGGUUACGUCGGAAUGGGCUGGGAACGACGUGGAACAGUUUCCGAUUAGUUCAAAAUUGCGAAUAAAGUCUGUGGCUGGGAAUCAUUCCCGUAAAACCGAACGAAGCCUAAGUUGUUUAGCCCUGGA
rnacentral:lncRNA from 1 species